UGUUCAUUGUUCAAUGAUUAGAGCUGUCCAUUUUAUUUUUAGCCCCAAGGCCAGUCCCGGCCCUCUCUAUAAUUUAGCCCAUUUUUUUACCCAUAUAUCAGGGGGCUUUUCUAAAGCCCCUGAUCCCAAAGCCCCAUUUUAUGGGUUCUGAUUAAAUUAGGGCCGGAUUAGCCCGUAGCCCCAACAACGUAUCUUUUCUUUCGACCCUGAAUUAUUCUCUUAAGAGCUAGCAACCGCAGUCGACAGCAGACGGCAGUACAGAAUCGACGGCAGACGGCGGCGCAUGGUGGACGACAGCACACAGUGGACAGCACAAAGUAGAGUCAACGACAACACUUGACGGCAGCGGUGAUACAGCGGCGAAGAAGAAUCAAGAAUUCUUCAUUUGCAACUUUGGUGCAUGGAUAUUAGGAAACCAAGUGUGAAGAGGGUGUAUGAGGAUCCACACGGUUGCAAUGAGAUCCAUGGCACAUUUUCUUACCAAAACAUGUCUGAAGCAUGCUUCUACCAUUGAUAUUUUGGUCUUUGACAAGUUAAUCCAUCUGGAAAUUUCAUUUGGAAGCUAAUGAAAGGAAGAACAUUGGUCUGAGAUAGAAAGAAGUAAGCAAGGAGGUUGGACAAAAUCAGUGUAGAUCUAGAUAUUUGGAGACCCCUUAGAUCCUAUAGAGGAGUUGGAACUACUGGAGUUGAGCUUACUGGUGGUACAGCUUCAAUGCAUCAAUUGAAGGAACGAAUUGAGAAAGACUUGCUAGAGUAUAAGUCUUGAAGUUUUAAAGCUAGAAACAACAACAGCCUUCAUCGUGGAAUCUUGACAGACCUUCCAAUCAAUUCCUUCUACAGCACUUGAAUACAGCAGCAGAAUGUUGUCCAUACCUUACAAUCUAUCAUUACAAAUAUUGUGUGUACUUGCUGGAUUUGGAAUGUUGUAGCUAUGCAAAUUUGUUCUGGAAGUUGAAUGAACUUGAUUUGGAGACUCAAUGCUGAUUAAGAAGCCAAAAUUCCUGCAGAAGCUAAAAUUUUUGUU